rnacentral:rRNA from 1 species
ACGUAGGGGGCGAGCGUUGUCCGGAAUCACUGGGCGUAAAGCGCACGUAGGCGGGCUGUCAAGUUGGCCGUGAAAGGCACGGGCUCAACCUGUGCAUGUCGUUGGAUACUGGCGAUCUGGAGUGUGGGAGAGGGAGAUGGAAUUCCCGGUGUAGGGGUGAAAUGCGUAGAGAUCGGGAGGAACACCAGUGGCGAAGGCGGGUUACUGGAACAUGACUGACGCUGAGGUGCGAAAGCCGGGGGAGCAAACGG